rnacentral:lncRNA from 1 species
AUGAGCGGCCCCAAUUUUCAUCGUACUCUGAGCCCUCUGCAUAUGACGAAGAGGCUCUCGACAACGAGUACAGCAGCUACGCCCGGCCCACGCACCUACCCGGACCCGCCAUUGGGUUCACUCCAGGUGGAGGCGAUCCCGAGGGAGAGCACGGAGGGAGGCCCCAACCGGCUUAUGGGUUCCAGCCUGGCGGAGAGGAUAGACCCGAGUAUGGAUCCGAGAGGCCCGAUUUGGGUCAUGGGUCUGGGUAUGGUCGGAAGCCGGGGUAUGAACAGCCCGGUUCGGAAUACGGUUCUGGGUAUCGACGGAGACCAGAGUCCGAUGAGCCCAGUUCCGAGUAUGGAUCUGGGUAUGGCCGAAAGCCAGUGUACGAGACGCCUGAACCCGAGUAUGGAUCUGGGUAUGGCCGAAAGCCCGAGUACGAGACGCCUGAACCCGAGUAUGGAUCUGGGUACGGUCGAAAGCCCGAGUACGAGACGCCUGAACCCGAGUAUGGAUCUGGGUACGGGCGAAAGCCCGAGUACGAGGCUCCCGAAUCUGAGCAUGGAUCUGGGUAUGGGCGAAAGCCUGAGUUCGAAGCACCGGGAGCUGGAUUCGGGUCUGGGUAUGAACGGAAGCCGAGUUAUGGCGAGGAGCCUGGUUAUGGAGAUGAGCCGCCGAGAAAGCCAAGCUAUGGGAGGCCCAGUUAUGAGACCUCAGAAAGUGAGGAGAGGACCAAGUAUGAGAGUUCGGGUUAUGGGAAGACUGAGUUUGAGAGACCUGGUUAUGGCGAAGAGCCGCGGAGGAGGCCUAGUUAUGAGAUCCCAGAAAGCGAGGAGAGGCCCAGCUAUGGGAGGCCUGGCUACGGAGAUGAGCCGCCGCCGCCAAGGCCCAGCUAUGGGAGACCUGGCUACGGAGAUGAGCCGCCACCGCCGAGGCCCAGCUAUGGGAGGCCCAGUUAUGAGGGGGAGGAAAGCGCGGAGUAUGAGAAGCCCAGUUAUGGGAGGAGCGAGGAGCAGGAGUACCGCAGGCCUGGUGGUUAUGAGAGGCGCGGUGAUGAUGAUGAAGCUGAGCGUCCUAAGUAUGGUUCUCGUGAGGAAGGCUAUAGUCGCAAGAAAUAUGUGAGAACCUCGAGCUUUAAAACUCCUUUUUUAAUUAUGUGUUUACAUUUAGGCGUCUCUAUGAUAUAAGUUUGAGUCAUGUGGAUUGUUGUUUGUUUGCUUGUCCAUCUUCAUGCAUGCUGUUCAUAAUGUACGUAUCCCCAUUUCCAGUGUGCCAUUAUAUACAUACAAAUCAUGGUAUUUAUAAUGAUCCUCUUUAGCUAAUUUAUCAAUUUGAAUGCAUCAUGGAAAUCAUCUUUUGCGUAUGCAUUGAGUAACUGUUUAUAUUUUUGGUUGGAAAACAUUUUGGAUUGAUCUAUUUGUAUUGGCACUCAUUUAGUAUAAGAUGAGAGCAGAGCUUAUGUGAUUAGUUCUAAACAAUUCAUGUGGUCCAUCUUCAUUACAGUAUCAUAAGUUACAAAUUACAUGCAUAAAAUUUUGGGGGUUGUAGUUGCAAUAAUGAGUCAAAAUAUAUCUUCCAGAGAUAAGACAUCCUGGUUUUGUUUUCUGGUUUUUAUCACCAUUUGAAUCCGAAAACAUUUCUAAUCCUUCUCAAGGCACAAACUUUUUUCUCAAGCUCGAAUCUCUGAAGGUGACUUUAGGUCUAUGAUGUUUCUAUAUCCUCCUCCUAAUGCUUUGGCUUGUGGAUCAUUUGGAUAAAUUCUUGGUGAAAACUGUUUACUCUGUUGUAAGUUCAAUGCUGUUGGUGAGGGGAUCUAAUAGAUGCAUGUAGUGUAGUAGCUGCGCCUCUGGUGAAGGUGGUUUAAAAGUGUAGAACACGUACCUGUUUUUCGAACCCUGUUGGUUAUUUUUAUUUUAUUUUAUCUGAUUCUCUCAAAUGAAUAUGGCAGGGAAAUGACAACUCGGAUGAGGAUGAUGAUGAUGAGGAGAAAAAACGACGUCACCACAAGCACCACCACCGCAAGAGCUAUGAUGAUGAAUGAUCAUAAUCCUUGCCCCUUAAGGGGAUGCAUGCCAUAGCCAUAGCCAUACUUUGAU